rnacentral:rRNA from 1 species
UNAUUGGANUUCCNNGGUUCUUAAGCAANAUGGCCGCCGAGGGUUCUUAACCCUCAGCAUGUAGAUACGNUUCUUUUUUCCCCGCGUUCGUGNUCCGCGGUAAAAAGAAAGAGUGGCGCACGUGUGAGUAACACGUGGGUAACCUCCCCCUCAGAAGGGGAUAACACUUGGAAACAGGUGAUAACCCCGUAUAACAAUCAAAACCGCAUUGUUUUGAUUUGAAAGGCGCUUUCGGGUGUCGCUGAUGGAUGGACCCGCGGUGCAUUAGCUAGUUGGUGAGGUAACGGCUCACCAAGGCCACGAUGCAUAGCCGACCUGAGAGGGUGAUCGGCCACAUUGGGACUGAGACACGGCCCAAACUCCUACGGGAGGCAGCAGUAGGGAAUCUUCGGCAAUGGACGAAAGUCUGACCGAGCAACGCCGCGUGAGUGAAGAAGGUUUUCGGAUCGUAAAACUCUGUUGUUAGAGAAGAACAAGGAUGAGAGUAACUGUUCAUCCCUUGACGGUAUCUAACCAGAAAGCCACGGCUAACUACGUGCCAGCAGCCGCGGUAAUACGUAGGUGGCAAGCGUUGUCCGGAUUUAUUGGGCGUAAAGCGAGCGCAGGCGGUUUCUUAAGUCUGAUGUGAAAGCCCCCGGCUCAACCGGGGAGGGUCAUUGGAAACUGGGAGACUUGAGUGCAGAAGAGGAGAGUGGAAUUCCAUGUGUAGCGGUGAAAUGCGUAGAUAUAUGGAGGAACACCAGUGGCGAAGGCGGCUNUCUGGUCUGUAACUGACGNGAGNCNNAAAG